UUUGAGAGGGUAAGGCUCCCAGUAGACGACUGGGUUGAUAGGCCAGGUGUGGAAGACCGGUAACGGUUGGAGCUGACUGGUACUAAUAGGCCGAGGGCUUGUCCUCAGUUG
rnacentral:rRNA from 1 species